rnacentral:tRNA from 1 species
GCCGCCGCCAGCGCGGUCAGCGCGCGCGGCCUGAAACGCCUCGGCCCCGGUAUCGCGGUGCCGGUCCAUGCGGCGGCU